CAAUAGCGUAUAUUAAAGUUGUUGCGGUUAAAAAGCUCGUAGUUGGAGUUCUGCCAGGUGACGCUCGUCCGCCCAAGUGGUGUGUACAGGGCGUGCAUCUGGCCCUUUCAAGGGGAACGUGUCUGCACUUUACUGUGUGGUGCGAGAUCCUUGACUUUUACUUUGAGGAAAUCAGAGUGUUCCAAGCAGGCUCUCGUCGUGUAUAGCUCAGCAUGGAAUAAUAGCAUUGGACUUCGUUUCUAAGCUGUUGGUUGCAAGAAGCGAGGUAAUGAUGAAGAGGGAUAGUUGGGGGCAUUCGUAUUUAACUGUCAGAGGUGAAAUUCUUGGAUUUGUUAGAGACGGACUACUGCGAAAGCAUCUGCCAUGGAUGUUUUCAUUGA
rnacentral:rRNA from 1 species